rnacentral:misc_RNA from 1 species
AACGCACGAGACCUGCGGACCUGCGGAGGGAUCAUUAGUGAACGCCCUCACGGGCUUAUAACUAUUCCAAACCUCUGUGAACCGCGCCCUUCGGGGCUAUUUUACAAACAUGGUGUAAUGAACGUCAUAUAUCAUAACAAAACAAAACUUUCAGCAACGGAUCUCU